rnacentral:rRNA from 1 species
GACGAACGCUGGCGGCGUGCUUAACACAUGCAAGUCGAACGGAAAGGCCCUGCUUUUGUGGGGUGCUCGAGUGGCGAACGGGUGAGUAACACGUGAGUAACCUGCCCUUGACUUUGGGAUAACUUCAGGAAACUGGGGCUAAUACCGGAUAGGAGCUCCUGCUGCAUGGUGGGGGUUGGAAAGUCUCGGCGGGUGGGGAUGGACUCGCGGCUUAUCAGCUUGUUGGUGGGGUAGUGGCUUACCAAGGCUUUGACGGGUAGCCGGCCUGAGAGGGUGAACGGCCACAUGGGGACUGAGAUACGGCCCAGACUCCUACGGGAGGCAGCAGUGGGGAAUAUUGCACAAUGGGCGGAAGCCUGAUGCAGCAACGCCGCGUGCGGGAUGACGGCCUUCGGGUUGUAAACCGCUUUCGCCUGUGACGAAGCGUGAGUGACGGUAAUGGGUAAAGAAGCACCGGCUAACUACGUG